rnacentral:rRNA from 1 species
UAGUGACAGGCGGCGAAAGUCGCUUUUUCCCGGCAAGGGACACUAGUCGAGGUGCUGCAUGGCUGUCGUCAGCUCGUGUCGUGAGAUGUUGGGUUAAGUCCCGCAACGAGCGCAACCCUGCCUUUAGUUGCCACCAGAUUAUGCUGAGCACUCUAAAGGGACUGCCGGUGAAAAACCGGAGGAAGGUGGGAUGACGUCAAGUCCUCAUGGCCUUUAUGUCCAGGGCUACACACGUACUACAAUGGGCGGCACAAUGAGUCGCAAACCCGCGAGGGGGAGCCAAUCUCAAAAAACCGCUCUCAGUUCGGAUUGCAGUCUGCAACUCGACUGCAUGAAGCCGGAAUCGCUAGUAAUCGCUGAUCAGCAAGCAGCGGUGAAUACGUUCCCGGGCCUUGUACACACCGCCCGUCACAUCACGAAAGCCAGUUGUACUAGAAGCCGGUAAUUCAACCGCAAGGAGAUAGCCGUCCAAGGUAUGACUGGUGAUUGGGGUGAAGUCGUAACAAGGUAAGCGUAGUGCU